GGAGUAUAGCUUAGUGGUAGAGUGCAUGCUUAACAUGCAUGAGGUCUUGGGUUCAAUCCCCAGUACCUCCA
rnacentral:tRNA from 1 species